GGUUAAGUGAAUAAGGGCGCACGGUGGAUGCCUUGGCACUAGGAGCCGAUGAAGGACGGGACUAACACCGAUAUGCUUCGGGGAGCUGUAAGUAAGCUUUGAUCCGGAGAUUUCCGAAUGGGGGAACCCAGCAUCUUUUAUAGGAUGUUACUUUUCAGUGAAUACAUAGCUGAUUAGAGGUAGACGCAGAGAACUGAAACAUCUAAGUACCUGCAGGAAGAGAAAGAAAAAUCGAUUCCCUGAGUAGCGGCGAGCGAAACGGGAAAAGCCCAAACCAAGAGGCUUGCCUCUUGGGGUUGUAGGACUCCGAUAUGGUAGUCCAGUGAGAUAGUCGAAGGACCUGGAAAGGUCUGCUAGAAAGGGUAAAAGCCCCGUAGACAAAAUUUGACUGGCACCUAGGAGGAUCCUGAGUACGGCGGAACACGAGGAAUUCCGUCGGAAUCCGGGAGGACCAUCUCCCAAGGCUAAAUACUCCCUAGUGACCGAUAGUGAACCAGUACCGUGAGGGAAAGGUGAAAAGCACCCCGGAAGGGGAGUGAAAUAGAUCCUGAAACCGUGUGCCUACAACAAGUUAGAGCCCGUUAAUGGGUGAUAGCGUGCCUUUUGUAGAAUGAACCGGCGAGUUACGAUUACUUGCGAGGUUAAGUUGAAAAGACGGAGCCGCAGCGAAAGCGAGUCUGAAUAGGGCGAAUGAGUAAGUGGUCGUAGACCCGAAACCAUGUGAUCUACCCAUGUCCAGGUUGAAGGUGCGGUAAAACGCACUGGAGGACCGAACCCACGUACGUUGAAAAGUGCGGGGAUGAGGUGUGGGUAGCGGAGAAAUUCCAAACGAACUUGGAGAUAGCUGGUUCUCUCCGAAAUAGCUUUAGGGCUAGCCUCAGAGUAAGAAUGAUGGAGGUAGAGCACUGUUUGGACUAGGGGCCCAUCUCGGGUUACCGAAUUCAGAUAAACUCCGAAUGCCAUCCAUUCAUCUCUGGGAGUCAGACUGUGAGUGAUAAGAUCCAUAGUCGAAAGGGAAACAGCCCAGACCACCAGCUAAGGUCCCCAAAUAACUAUUAAGUGGAAAAGGAUGUGGGGUUGCACAGACAACUAGGAUGUUGGCUUAGAAGCAGCCACCAUUUAAAGAGUGCGUAAUAGCUCACUAGUCGAGUGACCCUGCGCCGAAAAUGUACCGGGGCUAAAUAGUUUACCGAAGCUGUGGAACACACCAAUAGGUGUGUUGGUAGGAGAGCGUUCUAAGGGCGUUGAAGGUAGAUCGUGAGGACUGCUGGAGCGCUUAGAAGUGAGAAUGCCGGUAUGAGUAGCGAAAGACAGGUGAGAAUCCUGUCCACCGAAUGACUAAGGUUUCCUGGGGAAGGCUCGUCCGCCCAGGGUUAGUCGGGACCUAAGCCGAGGCCGAUAGGCGUAGGCGAUGGAUAACAGGUUGAUAUUCCUGUACCCGUUGUUUUUGUUUGAGCAAUGGAGGGACGCAGGAGGCUAAGGAAUCAGACGAUUGGAAAUGUCUGUCCAAGCAAUAAGUCUUGAUGUGAGUCAAAUGCUUACGUCUUUAAGGACAAGUUGUGAUGGGGAGGGAAAUAAUAGUACCGAAGUUCCUGAUGUCACACUGCCGAGAAAAGCUUCUAGUGAGAAAACAAUGGCCCGUACCGCAAACCGACACAGGUAGUCGAGGAGAGAAUCCUAAGGUGAGCGAGAGAACUCUCGUUAAGGAACUCGGCAAAAUGACCCCGUAACUUCGGGAGAAGGGGUGCUGAUCUAACGAUCAGCCGCAGUGAAUAGGCCCAAGCGACUGUUUAUCAAAAACACAGGUCUCUGCAAAAUCGAAAGAUGACGUAUAGGGGCUGACGCCUGCCCGGUGCUGGAAGGUUAAGAGGAGUGCUUAGCGUAAGCGAAGGUACGAAUUGAAGCCCCAGUAAACGGCGGCCGUAACUAUAACGGUCCUAAGGUAGCGAAAUUCCUUGUCGGGUAAGUUCCGACCCGCACGAAAGGCGUAACGAUUUGGGCACUGUCUCAACGAGAGACUCGGUGAAAUUUUAGUACCUGUGAAGAUGCAGGUUACCCGCGACAGGACGGAAAGACCCCAUGGAGCUUUACUGCAGUUUGAUAUUGAGUGUUUGUACCACAUGUACAGGAUAGGUAGGAGCCGUAGAAGUCGGGACGCUAGUUUCGACAGAGGCGCUGGUGGGAUACUACCCUUGUGUUAUGACCACUCUAACCCGCACCACU
rnacentral:rRNA from 1 species